UAGGGAAUCUUCCGCAAUGGGCGAAAGCCUGAUGGAGCAACGCCGCGUGUGUGAUGAAGGGUUUCGGCUCGUAAAACACUGUUGUAAGAGAAGAAUGACAUUGAGAGUAACUGUUCAAUGUGUGACGGUAUCUUACCAGAAAGGAACGGCUAAAUACGUGCCAC
rnacentral:rRNA from 1 species